GGCACAGGCCGGGCUUGGCCUGUGGCACAUACUUUGCUGAUUCUUAUCCUCAUGGACCCUACAUUCUGGGUGUAGGACAGAGGCAAUAAACAAAUUACAAUUGAAAACAGAUUAAUCAAGGAAAGCAGAGUACAGAUGACCAUGAAGGCCACAGUAACUGGGGCUUUUAUCCUAAGCAAAAGGAAACAUUGGUGAAGAUACCAGAAGGAGGUCCUGAUGUCUGAGUUACGAAGAUCAUCGUUGGAAACAGAUUAUAAGAAAGCAAGAGGGACCACAGGCAGGCCAACUGGAGGAAGUUGCAGUAACCCAGAAAGUUUCAGAAUUUAUCAUCGAUGACCAAUAAAUUGGACAAGAUCAUUGUGGGGUAAAAGUCAACAAGAACAGGUAGACCCCAAG